CAAUACGCUCAGCUCCGUGCAGCAAGUGUCUCCUGCGCAUCACCUGUGCCUGCAGUUCUGUGCAGAUCCAGUGGGAUCCUGUGUCUGCGUGCUUUCUGGGGGCUGCUCAGCCUUCAAUGGGGAUGCUGGGCAUCACAGGGCUGGAGGGGGGGACAGUGCCCACCCGAGCAGAGCUGGGCUUCCUGUCCAUGUGCACCACUGGCCCCACUCCAACCCAUGAAUCAGGUAUCCUGUCUCUCUCUCUCUCAUACACACACACACUCACAUAUGCACAUACACGCACACUCAUACACACACACAGACAUGCUCACACAGACACAUACACAUGUUCACACGUACACAGGCACCCACUCACACAAAUACACACAGAGACACAGACACACACACUCUCAUAUAUACACACACAGACACUGUUACACACUCAUACACACACAUUCUCUCUCAUAUACACACAGAUACACACACAAUCAUACUUUUACACACACAUGCUCAUACACACACGCUCACACAGACACACACACACUGUCUCAUACACACAUAGACACACACACACACGCUCACACAGACACACUCUCUCUCAUACACACACACAGACUCUCUUAUACACACACGCGCUUACACAGACAUUCUCUCAUACACAUACACGGACUCUCUCAUGUACACACACACAGUUACAUAGACACACUCUCUCACACACACUCUUUCAUACACACACACAGAGACACACACAUACACUCUCUUACACACACACACUCUCUCUCUCACACACACACAGACGCACACCGUCUGCUCACGAGCACACAGGGUGAGGAUUCAGGUUCAGGCCCCGCUGGCCUUGACCUCUGUCCGCACCGGGGCCCCUCUCUUCUUCCUCCGAGGGCUCUCUCCUGCCACCCCAGCAGCAGCCCGGAUCCCGCAAGCCUGGGGCGGGACACACCCCUGCUGCGAGCUCUCCUGGGAGCCCGGGGCCCCUUGGCACCAGCGCCGUCGUCCGCCUGCACUGACUGACCUUCUCCGAACUGCCGG
rnacentral:lncRNA from 1 species